GAUGAACGCUGGCGGCGUGCUUAACACAUGCAAGUCGAACGAUGAAGCUGGAGCUUGCUCUGGUGGAUUAGUGGCGAACGGGUGAGUAACACGUGAGCAACCUGCCCCUGACUCUGGGAUAACAGCCGGAAACGGCUGCUAAUACCGGAUAUGCACCAUGAACGCAUGUUCUGUGGUGGGAAAGAUUUUUCGGUUGGGGAUGGGCCCGCGGCCUAUCAGCUUGUUGGUGAGGUAAUGGCUCACCAAGGCGUCGACGGGUAGCCGGCCUGAGAGGGUGACCGGCCACACUGGGACUGAGACACGGCCCAGACUCCUACGGGAGGCAGCAGUGGGGAAUAUUGCACAAUGGGCGAAAGCCUGAUGCAGCAACGCCGCGUGAGGGAUGACGGCCUUCGGGUUGUAAACCUCUUUUAGCAGGGAAGAAGCGAGAGUGACGGUACCUGCAGAAAAAGCGCCGGCUAACUACGUG
rnacentral:rRNA from 1 species